CAGCAGCCGCGGUAAUACGAAGGGGGCUAGCGUUGUUCGGAUUAACUGGGCGUAAAGGGCGCGUAGGCGGGUCUUUAAGUCAGGGGUGAAAUCCCAAGGCUCAACCUUGGAACUGCCUUUGAUACUGGAGAUCUUGAGUCCGGGAGAGGUGAGUGGAACUGCGAGUGUAGAGGUGAAAUUCGUAGAUAUUCGCAAGAACACCGGUGGCGAAGGCGGCUCACUGGACCGACACUGACGCUGAGGCGCGAAAGCGUGGGGAGCAAACAGGAUUAGAUACCCCCGUAGUCCCUGUCUCUUAUAC
rnacentral:rRNA from 1 species